UAGCGAAGGGGGCUAGCGUUGCUCGGAAUCAGCUAGGGCGUAAGGGUGCGUAGGGCGGCUCGUGAGGUCAGGGGUGAAACUCCCACGGCCCAACCGUGGAAGUGCUCUCGAUACCGGCGGGCCGUCGAGGGGGAUAGGGGGCGUGCGGGAACUUCCGGUGGAGCGGUGAAAUGCGUAGAUAUCGGAAGGAACACCGGUGGCGAAAGCGGCGCGCUGGAUCCCUACUGACGCUGAGGCACGAAAGCCAGGGGAGCAAACGGG
rnacentral:rRNA from 1 species